GACAUAGGUGACGAACGUUAUCCGGAAUUAUUGGGCGUAAAGGAUGCGUAGAUGGUUCGCUAAGUUACUGGUGGGAAAUCGAGGCCCAACCUCGUGGAAGCUGGUAAUACUGUCGAGCUUGAGUGCAGGAGAGGUUAACGGAACUUUAUGUGGAGCGGUAAAAUGCGUAGAUAUAUGAAAGAACACCGAUAUAGCGAAGGCAGUUAACUAUUCUGCUACUGACAUUGAGGCAUGAAAGCGUGGGGAGCAAAACGG
rnacentral:rRNA from 1 species